GAUGAAGAACGUAGCGAAAUGCGAUAAGUAAUGCGAAUUGCAGAAUCCGUGAGUCAUCGAAUCUUUGAACGCACAUUGCGCCCUUUGGUAUUCCGAAGGGCAUGCCUGUUCGAGCGUCAUUAUCACCACUCAAGCCCGGCUUGCUGUUGGUGGCAGCGCAGCCGGUCAACCGGCUGCGCUCCACCCAAAGAUAAUGACGGCGUCUGCGAGGACUCCUGUACAUUGAGCUUUCGGGCACGUACAUGGCUAGAAGUCCAGGCGCCGGUCGACGUCCUCCGGGACACUUUUUACCAAGGUUGACCUCGGAUCAGGUAGGGAUACCCGCUGAACUUAAGCAUAUCAAUAAGCGGAGGA
rnacentral:misc_RNA from 1 species